AUUGAACGCUAGCGGGAUGCUUUACACAUGCAAGUCGAACGGCAGCGCGGACUUCGGUCUGGCGGCGAGUGGCGAACGGGUGAGUAAUGUAUCGGAACGUGCCCAGUAGCGGGGGAUAACUACGCGAAAGCGUAGCUAAUACCGCAUACGCCCUACGGGGGAAAGCAGGGGAUCGUAAGACCUUGCACUAUUGGAGCGGCCGAUAUCGGAUUAGCUAGUUGGUGAGGUAACGGCUCACCAAGGCGACGAUCCGUAGCUGGUGUGAGAGGACGACCAGCCACACUGGGACUGAGACACGGCCCAGACUCCUACGGGAGGCAGCAGUGGGGAAUGUUGGACAAUGGGGGCAACCCUGAUCCAGCCAUCCCGCGUGUGCGAUGAAGGCCUUCGGGUUGUAAAGCACUUUUGGCAGGAAAGAAACGUCGCGGGCUAAUACCCCGUGGAACUGACGGUACCUGCAGAAUAAGCACCGGCUAACUACGUG
rnacentral:rRNA from 1 species